rnacentral:misc_RNA from 1 species
CGCACAUUGCGCCCUUUGGUAUUCCGAAGGGCACAUCUGUUCGAGCGUCAUUACACCUAAUCAAGUUUAACUUGGUAAUUGAAUGGACAUACUUGUCUUGAAAUACAGACACAUUCAAAAGAUAUCUAGCAGUACCUAAUAGGUCUCAAGCGUAACAAAUUGAAAUCGUUUGUCAGACUUUAUUUGGAACUUGCAUUUCUACAUAUAUUUUAAAGGUUGACCUCGAAUCAGAUGGGGAUACCCGCUGAACUUAA